rnacentral:rRNA from 1 species
UACGUAGGGAGCAAGCGUUGUCCGGAAUCAUUGGCGUAAAGCGCGCGUAGGCGGCCCCGUAAGUCCGCUGUGAAAGUCAAAGGCUCAACCUUUGAAAGCCGGUGGAUACUGUGGGGCUAGAGUCCGGAAGAGGCGAGUGGAAUUCCUGGUGUAGCGGUGGAAUGCGCAGAUAUCAGGAGGAACACCAAUAGCGAAGGCAGCUCGCUGGGACGGUACUGACGCUAAGGCGCGAAAAGCGUGGGGAGCGAACAGG